AAUUUGAACUGAUGAUAUUUUCCAUGCACCACUCUUAUGCCUGUGUUGAGCAAUGUGCAGAUUAUGGAUAUGCUGACGCAUU
rfam:Drosophila virilis strain TSC#15010-1051.87 Ctg01_13963, whole genome shotgun sequence.